AGUGAACGCUGGCGGUAGGCCUAACACAUGCGAGUCGAACGGCAGCACAGUAAGAGCUUGCUCUUACGGGUGGCGAGUGGCGGACGGGUGAGGAAUACAUCGGAAUCUACUUUUUCGUGGGGGAUAACGUAGGGAAACUUACGCUAAUACCGCAUACGACCUACGGGUGAAAGCAGGGGAUCUUCGGACCUUGCGCGAUUGAAUGAGCCGAUGUCGGAUUAGCUAGUUGGCGGGGUAAAGGCCCACCAAGGCGACGAUCCGUAGCUGGUCUGAGAGGAUGAUCAGCCACACUGGAACUGAGACACGGUCCAGACUCCUACGGGAGGCAGCAGUGGGGAAUAUUGGACGAUGGGCGCAAGCCUGAUCCAGCCAUACCGCGUGGGUGAAGAAGGCCUUCGGGUUGUAAAGCCCUUUUGUUGGGAAAGAAAAGCAGCAGGUUAAUACCCCGCUGUUCUGACGGUACCCAAAGAAUAAGCACCGGCUAACUUCGUG
rnacentral:rRNA from 1 species